UACGAAGGGGGCUAGCGUUGUUCGGAAUUACUGGGCGUAAAGCGCACGCAGGUGGCUGAGUCAGUCGAUUGUGAAAGCCCUGGGCUUAACCUGGGAAUUGCAGUCGAUACUACUUAGCUAGAGUAUGGGAGAGGGCAGUGGAAUUCCCGGUGUGGCGGUGAAAUGCGUAGAUAUCGGGAGGAACAUCAGUGGCGAAGGCGGCUGCCUGGCCCAAUACUGACACUCAGGUGCGACAGCGUGGGGAGCAAACAGG
rnacentral:rRNA from 1 species